GACGAACGCUGGCGGCGUGCCUAAUACAUGCAAGUCGAACGGAAAGGCCCUGCUUUUGUGGGGUGCUCGUGUGGCGCACGGGUGAGUAAAACGUGUGUAACCUGUCCUUGACUUUGGGAUAUCUCCAGGAAACUGGGGCUCAUAUCGCAUAGGAGCUCUUGAUGCACGGUGGUGGUUGGAAAGUUUCGGCGGUUCGGGAUGGACUCGCUGCUUAUCCGCUUCUUGGUGGGGUAGUGGAUUACCAAGCGUUUGACGGAUAGGCGGCCUGAGAGGGUGACCGGGGACAUGGGGACUGAGGGACGGCCCAGAAGGCUACGGGAGGCAGCGGUGGGAAGUAUGGCGGAAUGGGGGGAAGCGUGAUGCAGCGACGCCGCGAGCGUAAAAACGUCCUUCGGGGUAAGAACCGCUUUCGCCUGAGACAAAGCCGGAGUGACGGUAAUGGGUAAGGAAGCAACGGCUAACUACGUG
rnacentral:rRNA from 1 species